rnacentral:lncRNA from 1 species
GUGGGUCCGGGGCACGUGGGGCUCUGGUACCUGUCCUGGGCACAGCAGGAGGAGGAGAGCCCCACGGAGCCAUCUGCGUGGGGGUGGUGGUGGCCCCCAGGGCAGGCAGUGAUGGCAGUGAGGGUUCCUCAUGUGCCGAGCCCCCUCUUGCCUCCCACAGCAUCCCUCCUGCGCGUGCCCUGCGAGCUGGUGCUGGACAUGGGGUUUGUCCCUGCCCUGCAGGACCCCGCAUCCCGCGAGCGCCGUGGUCUGCUGCACAGCUUCAACAGAACGGUCGCGCCCCUGUUCAUGUCGGUGCCCGGCUUCCUGCGGCUGGAGGUGACGGGGAUCAGGGAGGGCAGCGUGGUGCUGGAGUACGAUGCGCUGUUUGCAGCAGAGCGGGUGCGGGCGCCGGGGCUGGGAGCGCUCCUCGAGUCUGCGCUGGGCCCUGGUGGCACCCGGCCGGGGCUGGCGGUGGGCGCUGCCCCCGUCCUGCGCAACGUGGCCCUGGAGCGGCCGCUGGACCCCUGUGCUGAGCUCUUCGCCUGCCGGGCCGGCUUCGCCUGCGUGGCUGGGGCAGACGGGAACGCCACCUGCACGUCCCUCUGCCACCGCGACUACUGCAAGAACCACGGCAUCUGCACACACCCCCGGGACCGGGGGCCGCUCUGCCAGUGAGUGCUGGGGGUGGAAGGGACCGGGCCGUGCACCCACCCCCGGGCUGGGGGUGCCUGUGGCUGAUGCCCCCCCCUUGCUGCAGGUGUCCCGUUGGCAGCGAUUUCUGGUUCAUGGGGCUGCGCUGCGACUACCGGGUGACACAGCAGAGCCUGCUGGGC